AAAAAAAAAAAAAAAACACCAAUACAGACUUUCUCAGAUAAGGCUGAAAGAUAUGAUUCAUUAAUGCCUGAAAAGUGGCAGGGGCGUUGGUGAGUCCAAAGGGCAUGACAUUAAAUUCAAAAUGUCCAUGAUGAGUUCUGACAGCAGUUUUAGAAAUAUCUUCAGGAUUCAUCCUAAUUUGGUGAUAGCCUGCUCUCAAAUCAAUUUUGGAAAAAUAUUUAGCCACAUCCAAUUUAUCCAACAAGUCAUCAAUAAUGGGAAUAGGGAACUUUUCUUUUACAGUUACAUCAUUCAGUCUUCUGUAAUCUAUACAGAAUCUCCAUGUCCCAUCCUUCUUUUUUACUAACAACACUGGAGAAGAGUAUGGACUGGUGCUAGGCUGAAUGACUGAGGAAGAUAACAUAUCUGCCACCAACUUCUCAAUUUCAGCCUUUUCAAAAUGUGGAUACCUAUAUGGCCUAAUAUUA
rnacentral:misc_RNA from 1 species